GGUAUGUAGCUCACUGGUAGAGCACUUGCCUAGCAUGCUUGAGGUCCUGGGUUCCAUUCCCAGCACCA
rnacentral:tRNA from 1 species